rnacentral:rRNA from 1 species
UACGUAGGGGGCAAGCGUUGUCCGGAAUCAUUGGGCGUAAAGCGCGUGUAGGCGGCUAGGUAAGUCUGCUCUGAAAGCCCGGGGCUCAACCCCGGGAGGCGGGUGGAUACUGUCUAGCUCGAGUCCGGAAGAGGAGUGUGGAAUUCCUGGUGUAGCGGUGAAAUGCGCAGAUAUCAGGAGGAACACCAAUGGCGAAGGCAGCACUCUGGGACGUGACUGACACUGAGGCGCGAAAGCGUGGGGAGCGAACAGG